AUGUACUCCCCCUCCCUCUUCGAGGCUUCCCCCACUUUUCUUUUCUCCCCCCCCGUCCGCCACCAAAAACCCUCCCUCACAACCUCAUCAAGUGAUUUGGGUUUGGAAAUACCCGAUGAAGGGAAUUGUUAAGAAAAUAGGCGGUGAAAUGCCUGGAGACGAUUGCUUAGUGCAGCCCUUAUUUGGAGGUGCUAUAAGUAGUUGCUUUCCUCAAAGGUUUUAGGUGGUUCCUCAUCUUAUUUUCUUUCAAAUGUAAUGAUUUUUGGUUUUUGGAUAAUCCAAAUAUAAUCCUAGAAGUGGGGAAACUAACACAUGCCUUUGCUUCGGACAGGAUGCAAGCAACAUACGGAAAGUUCCUGAUCAUCAGAUUCACUAAUAGUUUUACUGCUAAGCUUAUAUUUAUAUUAAUUUGAUGAAGUCUGGGUUUGUUGACAUAGUUCUUGUGUUACUAAAUCUCUGUAGGAGGUUUUUGCAGAUCCUUGCUGGGAUGAGAGCCUGAUUUUUUAGCUGAAACAUGAGGUUGGAGAUGCUGGAGGUGCUGUCUGGUUUUUAUGUGACACUGCCCAUGAACAAGAUGCUGAGAAACCAUGUGAUAGGUAGCCUUGGAACAGAUGGUGAAGCCUUGAGAGAUAUGUAUGCCUCAUGGUAUGUUGUACCUUACUAUACGGGACGGUACCGGGCAUACCAUACUGUACCAAUGGUAUACUGUGUACUGUACCGUACCGACACGAUGAUAGGGUGGCAUCAGUAUGAGGUCCGAUACCGGUAUGGCGAAUCUUGGUAUGCCUCUUUAUAAUCUUCUUAAUGCUCUUAAAUCAGCAAUCAGAUCCCUUUAUAUUUCCACAGAUUGUAUUUGAAGUAGAAUUUGUUGGGUGGUGCACGCUCCUAUUUAAUGAGGACACUUUCUGUGGUCUAUGGAACAUCGAUACCUAUUGUUUGUUUGUCAUUUGACAUCUUGUGUUGAAAGCCCAGUGUAAUAGAAGUAGCAGGCUUUGAGGUAAUUUGAUUAUUAAAACUGCAGCCAAAGCCAUUUACUAAUUGAUUUUUUUAAUUGUUUGUUAAAUAACCAGGUGCUCGAGCAUUCUGGCACUCUUGAGGCAGCUGGUUUAGGUUAUGGAGGUGGAACCACAAUAGUUACAACAGCAGUUGGUCAAAUGGUUAUAUCAAAAGGAAGACAAGUAAGGGAGGCACAGAAUGUUGGGUGGGUAUAUCUGGCAAAUUUGCAUCUGAAGGAAGUUUCUUCUGAUGUGCUUGAUUACUGUAUAUGAGCCGAUAUUGAUGAAGUGCAUCACUCCAACUGAUGGUUUUAGUUGCAGCUGAAAACCAAAUCACCGAGGCAGAUUAGAACAUUGCCCGAAUGUCAUUAUGAGGCUACAAAUCUUUCCACUGUUUUCGAACUUCAGCUCUCAAUUAGAAAGAUGGUUCGGUGUGCCAUAUCGUCAGCUCUGUCGCUGUUGUUUUCGCUGUCACCGCUGUCUAUUAUUAGUGCUGUUGCUGCUUCUCACAUUAUUGUAUUUGCUCAUGUUACCAUUGCUGGGCCCAGGUGGAGAGCUCCAUUCCUGAUAGGUUUGAAAGUGGCAGGCCCUAUCUGUUUGUCAGUUGCGAGCUUUCAUGGGCCUUGCACCUGAUCGGUUUGAGUUGUGGGUUCCAUUGCUUCUUCUGAGCUGGUUCCGAUCAUAUAUGUUUAAAGAGAUGGCAUGAAAUGUCUUGCUUUCACUAUCAAUAAUUCUAGUAACGUGGGCCAUGUAAGGUUGGAGCUUCACUGGUUUUUCGAUGUCACGUUAAAAAAAGAACAAGAAGAAUGCUUUGCCGUGCA